GCUUGGAGAAUAGAGCAAAUUUCUUUUUUUUUUUCAAAAAAAGGAUUUGGCUACGUUUUAAAAACUUCUUUUUUUUCAAAAAAAGUAUUUGAUAUAGUGUAGUAUAUCGUCUGAUAAGCCCGUUCUCUAUGGUGGAAACACUGUACGUAUACAGUAUACACUAAAACUCAAUGAACUAAAACAUUUUACUAAUUGAAGGAAAAGAAACCAACCGGGAUUGCGUUAGUAGCGGAGAGCGAAAGCGCACAAGCCUCUAUUAUAAAUUUUUUAUACAAUCGAACUUAUGUGGAAUCAAGACCGAAGAAAGUUAUAGUCUUGUAGGUUGUAAGGAAGAAUAUGUUUUUAAGUUAUUUAAAAAGAACUUUUUGUACUUCGUACCAUUUUUGUACUUCGUACCAUUUUUGUACUUCGUACCAUUUUUGUACUUCGUACCAUUUUUGUACUUCGUACCAUUUUUGUACUUNNNNNNNNNNNNNNNNNNNNNNNNNNNNNNNNNNNNNNNNNNNNNNNNNNNNNNNNNNUUUUGUACUUCGUACCAUUUUUGUACUUCGUACCAUUUUUGUACUUCGUACCAUUUUUGUACUUCGUACCAUUUUUGUACUUCGUACCAUUUUUUUUAUAUAUUUUUAAGUAAUUUAAAAAAAAAAAACAAAAAAAAGAAAUUAGUGGUUUUUUUAAGCUGCUAGUUACAGAUACCACUCUGUUGGCUAAAUAUUCUAUGUAGAUCGAUAGUGAAUCAGUACUGUAAAGGAAUUAGGAAACAAGAAUGCCGUUGCUUCUCUGAAUACAAGUCCCGAAACAGGUUGCUUAUAAUGACUUUCAGUUUGGCUUUUUUUUAAAUAAUUUUUUUUUAAAAAAGAAACGUUAAAUAGAAAGGUUCCUUUUGAAUCAUGAGCUGAUGACUUUGUGUUAAUUUAAGGCUUUAAAUUGUUCUAAAAGGCAAUUAUAGGCAGCUUAAUUUAUUAAAAGUAAGCUUAUUAUGAAAAUAUCCAUAAAAAAUUAACACAAAACGCGAAACGAAGUGAGCUUAAGUAGACCAGGGGGAAGGUUGCCGGAAGGUAGCUGGAGGCCCGAAGUGGUAUGCGUUGCAACGCGUUCAUAUGAGUUUAUUUAAGUGGCGAAAUACUAAUCGAACUUCGAAAUAUCUCGUUUUUUGCGAAACCUUUUUAGGAAGGGGGCCUGUUAAAAAAAUGCUAACUAGGUAGAGCGCUGUAAAACUGAUGGGAAGGAAACUUUUACUGAGGUGUUGUAAACUACGAAUUAGGGGCAUUUAGCCAGGUACUCAGUCAGUGUGGGACAAGCUACAUUUGACAAGAAGGAAACAGCCUAGACUAUCAAUUAAGGCCUGAAAAUAGUGCUAAGUGAAAAAGUAAUUAACUUCACAAAAAUUAGUAGGACGUUUGAUUAGCAGCAUCUAUCGUUUAAAGAAAGCGUAAUAGCUCACUACUAUAGUUUAGUUGUUGCGAAAAUUUACCCGGACUAAGCACUAUGCCGAAAUUAUAGCUAACCUAUUUUUUUUUUAGGUUAGAGUAGCAAAACGAACCAUGUUGACGAAGUUAUGUCGGUAAGACUUAAUGAAAAUAUUGGUUGUGAAUAUAUCAGCUAGAGUAACAUAUAAAUUGAGUUUAGAAUCUCAAUGAUCGAAAAUCCUGGGUUUUCUUACACAACUGUUUAAGGUGUAGUAAAAACACGGUCCCUAAGUAAUAUAAAGGUUACGAUGGGUGUUCUGUUAUGCCCGACAAAACCUUGUUUAGAGGUCUGUUGCAGGAAAUAAUAACAGCAAAAUUAAAAUUAUUUGUCUUUUUUUUUGUACAGAUAGAUUUAUACCGUACUAAAACUGACUCUGGUGGAUUAGUAAAUUUUACUAAGAUUUGGUUAUAAUCGUUCGUAAGGAACUCGGCAAAUUACGCUGGUACUUUCGAAAACAGCGGUCUUUUUCUUUUUCGAAGAAAAAAAGAUCUCAGAUGAGAAAACUGGGUGACAGUUUACUAAAAACUUAGCGUCCUGCCAAUUUGAAACAAGACGUAUAGGAUGUGACGUUUGCUAACGGCCACUAAUUUAAGUAAUCUGUUGUAAAGGAUAGAUAAACAAGAUGUGGUGACGAGCGGCCGUAACUAUAACGGUCAUAAAGUAGCGAAAUUCCUAGGCAUUUAAUUGGUGUCCUGCAUGAAUAACGUAACAACCUGGUUGCUGUCUCGCGAGCGAAAACCGUGAAAUAAGAAUAUCGGUUAAAAUACCGAUUAGGCUGUCUUAGACGAUAAGACCCUGUGAAGCUUUACUGUAACUUAACAUUGCGACCGGUUUUUUAUCUUACAGUUAGGUGGGAGGCAAUGCCAGCAAUGGAAAACCACUAGAUAAUAAAUUGGUCGCUUUUAUAUUAGACAUUUUUUUUUAAAUAGACAGUGUUAGGCGGGCAGUUUACUUGGGGCGAGGUCUGGCUAAAAAGUAACGCCAGAGAGCAGAAGGUAUGCUCAAUAUUGUCGGAAACAAUAUGUAGAGCGUAAUAGUAUAAGCAUGCCUGAUUAUGAGACUGACAAGUCGAAUAAAGACGAAAGUCUGCUAUAGUGACCCUCACACGCUAAGUGGAAAGGUGUGAGAUCAACGAAUCAAAGUUACUCCAGGGAUAACAGGGUAGUCCUGGCUUAUAGUUCUUAUAGACGCCAGGGUUCGCCACCUCGAUGUUGCCUCAGGUCAUCCUAGAGCUGCACAAGGUUCUAAGGGCGCAACUGUUCUUUGCAUAAUGACCUACGUGAGGUGAGUUUAAACCGCCGUAAGGCAGGUUUGGUUCUAUCUAGACAGCCACAAAAUUUAACCAAGCAUUAGAAUUCCACUGUACGAAAGGACCCGGAACUCCACGCCAAUGGUUUAGCAAUUGUUUUGAAAAAAGCAUGGUUGCAAUGCUAAGCGUGAAAUGUUAAUUGCUGAAAAACUAUCAAGCAAGAAACAAUUGUAAAGGUUAUAAUAAAUCGCGUUUGCGUAAAUAGGCACGGGGUGUAAGCUUUGUAACAAGUUCAGCUACCGUGUACUAAUUUAAAAAAACAAAAAAAUACACUUAGAAAGUUUUUU
rnacentral:rRNA from 1 species